rnacentral:misc_RNA from 1 species
AUAACUUCCCUCUAGAUCUAGCUGUGAUCGAAGCUCCAUCUAUAAAUGGAUAAAAUUGGGAUCUUACAGUAUACGACUUUUUGAAAGUAAAGUAGCAAUAUCAACAAAGUGGAUAUUGCUACUUUACUUUUAUUAGUAGUCUAAAAAUGAAAAAAUAUUAAUACAUACAUUUUUUAUUUAAGAUUCUUUAGCAUUUUUGAUUUCUUAUGUUAUGUCGAAAUAAAAAAGUAUAUAUAUGGAUGUAUCUCUCUUUUUUCUUUUUUAUUCCUAUCCUAGAAGAAUAAAAGAAUGAUAAUGAAAGGGUAGAAAUUCAGGUAGAAAUCGUUUUUCUAUAGUAUAAGGGCGGAUGUAGCCAAGUGGAUCAAGGCAGU